UACGUAGGGGGCAAGCGUUGUCCGGAUUUAUUGGGCGUAAAGAGCGUGUAGGCGGCCUUACAGGUCAGCUGUGAAAACUCGAGGCUCAACCUCGAGACGUCGGUUGAAACCGUAAGGCUAGAGUCCGGAAGAGGCGAGUGGAACUCCUGGUGUAGCGGUGGAAUGCGCAGAUAUCAGGAAGAACACCAGCGGCGAAGGCAGCUCGCUGGGACGGUACUGACGCUGAGACGCGAAAGCGUGGGGAGCGAACAGG
rnacentral:rRNA from 1 species